UGCAGUGUCAUAAAGGAGCAUGAAGCCUGUGUUCUUUCUAUAGAACUCUGGCUUCCCAGGCAAUCGGGAAGCCGGGCGGCAGGUCAUGAC